UUAGAGGGAACAUUGGUGGAAACAUUUUUCUUUGAAGUGCUUUUGCUGUUGUUUUUCACCUGCUUUGUUGGCUUAGAGUUCAUACUUACAUGGGCUACUGAAAGAAGCCGUUUCUGUGUAUCUGUACACAUAUGAACAGUUUAUAUUGUUAAUGACAGUUACCUGGGCGAUCUUUCAAGGUAAAAAAAAAAAAAAUUAGUAAAGCGAGUAAGGUGACAAACUGCUUUAGAAAUGACGUGAUUAAGCAAUGCCUUUUUACUUUUUUAAAGUCAAAAGCUUGUAAGUCUUUAGUAAACCUUUUUAUGGCUCCAGGAAACCAAAGGAAAACUUGGCAGUGAGACAGAUUCCUGGUACCCGCAGUGUUUCUGUUUUGUGCACAAUAAAACCUCCGUGCUCACUUAUUUUGUGGUAAAGGCUAAAAGCAUAGCCGAAGGUGCAGAUGCUUCUCUGAGCCACUCGGCUGAAACGAUUCCUGCGCUCGUAUCCGAGCUCUGCUUUCCUCCCGCCUGCUGACAUGGUUGUGUUCGCUGCCAGCCAUUCCCUCUUCUGUCUGUCUGGGGGUUGCCCCAGCAGCUUUCUCUAAUCUUUCGCGCCUCGGCUUUAUUUCAGAAGAAGCCGAGGCCCUGUUGUCAUGGCAACAGGCAGCUAUUGGCUCAAGUUAUAGCCGUUGCGUUCUCACACAACGAAAUCUAACCAGCCACCUAAAAAUAUAGUUUAAAAACCAAACCCAGAUGGGAUUUCAAGGAGGUGCAUGUUGAAAGCAUCACUGAGGCGCCGCUCCUCCUGCUUCCGUUGACAUUUUGUCCCAUUUUGCUUGACAUUUUCAGAUGUGCUGCAGGUUCCCUUUUUUUGUUUCUCUCCUUUCCUUUGCUCCAAACUUAGCGAAGCAUUGGAUUUAUUCUGUCAAGGUUUUGCACACGAACGUCUCUUUUGUUCACCGUACAAGACACAUUUACAUUUCCCUUGUUCGUCGUUAGACGCCGGAUCACCCAAAUCAUUUCCAUAUAAAUACAUUUUGUUUUCUUUUUGUCAUCUCAGAUUUUUAUCCAUGACUGAUAAAGUUGAAAGAAUUUCCACUGGCUUUACUAAACCACCAAUAUGAGAGAAAAGGGCGAGGUUACUGGCAGCAGUAGUUCUACAGAGAUAGCGGCGUAUUUUAAGGCUGUGUGAAUUAUACAAAGGUUGUCUAGUACUCAACCUGUUUCCCUUAUGGGGAUGGUGUCUGUUAGUCGGCUUCUGGACUAGUGAAAAUCAUCCGGCUCUAGAGGACAGUGACGGUGCCAUACUACUACAGAGGCCGACAAUAUAGUUAACUUUAUAUGUUUGGUGAGUACAAAAUGUUUGAUAAGCAGCUGAAUAGCUUAGGGACUGAGUAGUUUCUGUGCUUGCACUGGUCUCCUCCAGGUGCUCCACUUUCACCCUUUCAGAGACUAAUUCAAUAGCCAAUCAAAUGGUGGCGUGGUGGUACAACGGUUAGCACUGUCGCCUCGCAGAAAAAAAAUGGCUUCCAGUUGAAACUUUGUGGCUGGGCAGGCCUUCCUGUUUGAGCUCAUGUUCUUCCUGUUCUUCCAAGGGUUUCAUCCCAAAGUCCAAAGACUUGGAUCUUAGGUUAGGUUGGAGAUUGUAAAUUGGAUUUAGACGUGGAUGGGAAUUUGUUUGCUCACCCAGCUGGGAUAGGGUCCAGCGAAGUUGGAUAAGCAGUGGAUGAAUAAAUAGUCAAAGGCAGAGCCGCAGAGCAGUCUGAAAAUAAUCUCUAAUAUAAUAAUGCUAAAAAUGAAGCAAAACAAUCUAAUAAAUAAUAAAUAAGAAUUUAGCAGCCAAACUGUUAAUCACAUUUUUAAUAAACCAGACGUCCCCCUGAAGUUUGUGCCAUACACAGUAUAUAAGAUGGAUGUUGCUGCUGGUUUCUGAAAUAUCAUUUUGAAGAUGAACCGUUCCAUCACUGUCAUCUUUGUGUUUGGCUGGUGGAUCUGACCGUGAAACUGCGUGGUUAUUGGCCAGUGACAUGUCAGUCACUAACUAAUGAGAAGAAACUUUUUAAAUCACACAUUAAAGUUAUUCCAUGUUUAGUAAUUUAGUAAUAAUAAUUUUUUAAACUCUAGAAGUAUACUGCUAAAUUACUGUGCAUUUUCAUUGUCGUGCUUUUAGAAGGUCGGUUCUGGCACCUCUGGGCUAACUGACUAGCUGCCACAUUCCUACCCACUGCACCCCAACAACUUUGGAUAAUCUACAUUGACCAUAGAUGUGACGUGGUCGUCUGUCUUUGUGGCGGUCCUGUGUUGGACUGGUGAUCUGUGGAGAGUGUAGCAUACUUUUCAGCCUAUGUAAUUGAGAAUGAGAUCCUGCAUUCCCUCAGGAAAACUGUGCAAAUGUAAUUAUUGAAAAUAUAAUAAUAUUUUUAUUAGACAUUAUUAGAUAUUUUAUUAGAUAUUUUAAAAGCAAGAAAAUAGACGUUUGCAAUAAGUUGGAAUAAUUUAAACCAUUAAAAAGAUAAAAAUAAGAUUAAAAAAGUGAUGUAAGCCUUUUAAGUCAUGGUUGCAAAAUAAAUUUGAAUUAUAACUGAGAUGUAAAGGACAACUUUAGGAUCAGCAUAACCUUCAGAAUCGUCCAUUACUGUUCUGUCAUUCAUUCUGCUGAGAACAGGUAAUUCAGUCCUUUCACCUGUUUUUUUACCCUCAACCUUUUCCCAUAUCUACCUCAUAGCCGUUAGUGGACUCUGUCUUUGUCAUGAACUAACAUGCACUUCAUGCAAAGAUGCUAUAGUGUGUAUAUCUACCACUAAUGCAUGGUUUCUGGUGAGAUGAGCAGCCUGACAUUUAUAGCAACACCUUACACAAGACUCACCGUCGUCCCGCCUAGCACCCACAUGUCAGUCCUGGCAUUUACACUGGCGUCGCACUGAUUUUAAUGGAGAGUGUUGUACAGGAAGCACAGGUGGAGCAUGAUCAGAAAGAUGGAGGACAGAAACGGCUCAGGACAGCAUAAAUGAAUCAAUAAUAGUGCAUGCCAAUCUCACACUCACACAGACUUUGACAGUAUAGCUGUGCGCUGUGGUCUUCUACCUUUGGGAGACCAAAUUUUGACAUCAUCAGUUAUACAUUAAAAUCUGAUGAGACAUAAACCUAAACAAGUCUUCCAGACUAAAAACUAUAAAAAUAAAAAUAUCGAUACAACGAAAUAUCGUGACUUUUCGUGCAAUGACACUGAAUCGAUAUUCAAAAUCAGUGUUAUCGGUUUUUUUAAAUUGAAAAAUUACAUGCAUUUACUGUUUAUUUCUUUUGUAUGUUGGAAUUCAAACUCCGGCCACUGGUUUGCAGUUUUUACCGCCUUUACUAUGACGUAAAAACGAGGUCUCGCGAUAAUUGUAGAAGCUUCUAGUUUGCCAAAACCACCGAAGUAGAACAGUGGAUGUGUGGCCAAUUGUGCUAGCUAACUGAUGACUGAAGAGGAGGGGAUACAGCCGGCCCCCGCAGCUUUCAAAGCUGAUGUGUGGACUUAUUUUGGAUUUAGGACAAAAGAAGGCAGUAAAGACUAUGACAAGAGCUAUGCAGUCUGUAAAAUCUGCACCGCCAGAGUCAAAUGUUCCGGUAACACAACAAAUUUACGAACACACGUGUCUAGACACCAUAGCGACGUAGCGUCAAAUGCUAAUUUUAAAAAGAAACGAGAUGACCCCGCUCAACGGACAACUGAAGAAGUUAACUUUUCGAAACUACCAGCAACUUCAACUCGUGCAACAAAAAUAACGCAGUCAGUACUUGUUUUUAUUUGCAAAGACAUGCGCCCUCUGAGUGUUGUGGAGAAUAAAGGAUUUCGUAAUAUGAUUAAAACGCUGGAGCCCCGUUACACCGUUCCUUCCCGACAACACAUCACGGACAUCGCUCUGCCAAAGUUGUACCAAGAAGUCAAAGCGACUGUGCUGGACUCCCUCAGCUCGGCAGAGACAGUUGCUUUGACAUGCGACGCUUGGACUUCGAGAGCCACUGAAUCGUACGUAACUGUUACAGCACAUCACAUAACGGACCAGUGGAACCUUCAGUCUCAUGUACUACAAACCUGAGCCAUGCAUGACAGUCACACAGGUGAGCACAUUGCAGCGUUACUAACUGACGCUGUGGCUGAAUGGGGAUUGAACACAAAGGACCUUGUUGUUGUUACCGAUAAUACACCAAACAUGGCUCUCGCGGCUAGACUUGCAGGCAUGACGCACAUACAAUGUUUUGCACACAGUCUGAAUCUCACCUCACAGAAAGCACUGAAAAUACAAUCUGUGGUGCGACUUCUCGGGAGGAUCCGACGUGUAACAGCCUUUUUCAGGCGCAGCACCUCAGCCAGCAACCAGUUGAAGCAGAAACAGUGCCUCCUUCAGCUACCAGCUCACAGAUUGAUCACGGACAUAAUUACAAGAUGCAACAGCUCCUAUGAUAUGAUAGAACGAUUUUUAGAACAGCAACCAGCCAUCUGUGCAGCUCUGCUUUCUGCAGAAGUUAGGAAGAGUGAAAAAGAAAUUUUCACAUUAAGUGAGUCUGACAUCACAUGUGCAGAAGAAGUUGUCAGGGCGCUCAAGCCUAUGAAGGACGCCACCCUAGUGAUGUCAGAGGAGAGUAUGCCAACCCUGUCCAUCAUUGCUCCUCUUCAUGCCAAGCUUGUGAUUGGUGCACAAGAAAGUGUUGAUGAUACACCGACCCGUAAGGGACAUUAAGACUGCCAUAGCAGAAGAUCUGGGAAAGAGAUAUGUAAAUGAGAGGGAGACACUAUGGAUGGCAUCAACAGUUGAUCCUCGGUUUAAGGACCUGCCCUUCCUGUCUGAAGCAGAGACCAGUGAGACCUAUUCCAGACUGUUGGACACUGUGGUGACUGUGAUAAAGAAGGAAAAAAAUCAGCAAAAGAAUAAGGAGACUGACAAACAGGUGGAGGAGGAGAAUGCCACAGAGGAGGCUCAUCACCCACAUAUCAAAGACAGCUUUGACUCCAUCCCUCGGCCACCCCUGAAGAGACAGAGGACCUCAUGUGCAUUGGUGGACUUGCUCGGAGCUAUGUUUACCUCUACUAGUGACAAUACUGCACCAAAAUCAGAACAUGAUGUUGCUGCAGCUGAGAUCAAGAGGUAUAGAGAUGAGACCCCUUUGCCUCUCACAGGAAAUCCUCUCAGUUGGUGGAAGGACCAUGAACAGGAAUACCCUCAGCUAUCCAAAGUAGCAAAGAGUUUCCUAUGCAUUCCUGGAACAAGUGUCUCUGCAGAGAGAGUGUUCUCCUCUGCAGGAGACAUAGUCAAUGCACAGAGAAGUGUCCUGAGAGCUGACCAUGUCGAUCAGCUUGUAUUCCUGCACAAAAAUCUGGAAAUUGAAAAAUAACCACUGAGAAAACACUAAACAUGGAAAAUCUCUGAUAUGAGAAUAUUUGACAUUUUGGUUGAGUCUCAUAAGCACUUUUAUUUAGAUGAGUAAAUUCCUUUUUUCAGGUUGUACUAAAAGUGUUCCAUUGAUGGACACUGCAGAGCUGUACUUUAUUUUAUUAACACUUAAUUUUAAUAGCACUUUACAUUGUUUGUUCAUGUUUACUUGGAUGGAUUCUUCAAGCAAUUUCAUUUUUGAUUUAUAUUUGUUUAUGUUAAGGUCACAUAGAAAGUGCUUUGUUUUGAUGCUCCAUAGAGCAGUUUUUGGAUAAGUAUUUUACAAUCAUAGUACUUAGAAAGACCUCAGUGUUACAUGUUUACUUUUUUUAUGCUAAAAAAAUACUUGAUAUUUCAGUAAAGUAGUUUUUGUUUAUUUGACAUGACUUCUAAUAAGGCAGAUGUUAAUUUCUCCAUUUUGAACUUGGAGUGUUUUUGUUUCAGAUGUUUCAUGUCAAGCAUUUAACAGUUUGGACUGUUUACUGUGAGUUUUCCUAAUUAAAUUCAGUCCUACUAAACACAAA